GCCGACUACCGACAAUCGAAAGUAUUUCAUCUGUGCCGACUACCGAAACGAGAAGUACAGGCCGAACCAGAUCUCUUUCAAGCAAACAGUUUUGGGAGGAAUUCAAAGUUGAGCUCGUGAGGAUCUUAAUAGCAGUAGCAAAAUAAUCAUGAAACUGGGGGGAUUGUUAACUGAUACGUAACAAUAUGCCUCUUGAUGCUUCAUUGCUUGGUUCAUGUUUGCAAUCUGCUGCUUCAGCAAUAGGGAAGAAAAUUUAUGUUAAUCUGUAAUAUUCUUUAACUAUAAAAACAUGGGGAAUAGAUGUGUCCCAUAAAUUAUUAUAUUAUUAUAGUGUACUGUUUCAAUUUGGUUGCUAACAUUUAUUUUAUGGUCCUAGAUCAGUUAGAAUUUGACUAUGACUUUUAUUGUUCAGAUGCAUUUCAUGAACAUGAAUAUGUAGAAUGAAAUGGGAGGAGUUACCAUGGUGGAUAGUAAUGUAAACUUUGUUCAUCACUGCAGUGUUAUUAUUGAGGCACUUAAGGUGGACAGUCUGCAGAGACUUUGUUCAUCGCGGGAGCCAAUUUUUCGGAGAGUUGUAAGAUUAUGUCUUUUUAUGAAAUAUCUUUGUUCACAGAGCAAUUAGAAGCAGGAAUUAUAGCAAAAACAUGAAUCCGUUGGAGGAAGUAGUGAAACACUAUUGUUACAUGUAUCUUAAGAAAAAUCAUACCUUUCGUGUCCUUUAA